AUUGAACGCUGGCGGCAUGCCUUACACAUGCAAGUCGAACGGCUGCACGGGUGCUUGCACCUGGUGGCGAGUGGCGAACGGGUGAGUAAUACAUCGGAACGUACCUUAUCGUGGGGGAUAACGCAGCGAAAGCUGUGCUAAUACCGCAUACGCCCUGAGGGGGAAAGCGGGGGAUCGCAAGACCUCGCGCGAUUAGAGCGGCCGAGGCCUGAUUAGCUUGGUGGUGGGGUAAAAGCCCACCAAGGCGACGAUCAGUAGCUGGUCUGAGAGGACGAUCAGCCCCACUGGGACUGGGACACGGCCCAGACGCCUACGGGAGGCAGCAGUGGGGAAUAUUGGGCAAUGGGGGCAACCCUGAUCCAGCAAUGCCGCGUGUGUGAAGAAGGCCUGAGGGUUGUAAAGCACUUUUGUUGGGGAGAAUGGUAGACUAGGUUAAGAGCUAGGUUUAUUGAUGUUACCCAAAGAAUAAGCACCGGCUAACUCCGUGCCAGCAGCCGCCGUAA
rnacentral:rRNA from 1 species